rnacentral:rRNA from 1 species
AUUGUCUGGUGUUUAUCAGUCGUGUUAUGUUUUGUCUGCACAUGGGGGACCAUCCUCCAAGGCUAACAUCCUGACUGAACCGAUAGUGAACCAGUACCGUAGAGGGAAAGGCGAAAAGAACCCCUGUGAGGGGAGUGAAAUAGAACCUGAAACCGUCUACGUACAAGCAGUGGGAGCCUCCUUUGUGGGGUGACCGCGUACCUUUUGUAUAAUGGGUCAGCGACUUAAUGUUAGUAGCAAGGUUAACCGCAUAGGGGAGCCGUAGGGAAACCGAGUCUUAACUGGGCGUCCAGUUGCUAGCAUUAGACCCGAAACCGAGUGAUCUAGCCAUGGGCAGGUUGAAGGUUGAGUAACAUCAACUGGAGGACCGAACUCACUAACGUUGAAAAGUUAGGAGAUGACCUGUGGCUAGGGGUGAAAGGCCAAUCAAACUCGGAGAUAGCUGGUUCUCCCCGAAAGCUAUUUAGGUAGCGCCUCGGACGAAUACUACUGGGGGUAGAGCACUGUUAAGGCUAGGGGGUCAUCCCGACUUACCAACCCUUUGCAAACUCCGAAUACCAGUAAGUACUAUCCGGGAGACACACGGCGGGUGCUAACGUCCGUCGUGGAGAGGGAAACAACCCAGACCGCCAGCUAAGGUCCCAAAGUUAUCGCUAAGUGGGAAACGAUGUGGGAAGGCUCAGACAGCCAGGAUGUUGGCUUAGAAGCAGCCAUCAUUUAAAGAAAGCGUAAUAGCUCACUGGUCGAGUCGGCCUGCGCGGAAGAUGUAACGGGGCUAAGCGAUACACCGAAGCUGCGGCAAUGUCCUUAUGGAUAUUGGGUAGGGGAGCGUUGUGUAAGCCGUUGAAGGUGUGCUGAGAGGCAUGCUGGAGGUAUCACAAGUGCGAAUGCUGACAUGAGUAACGAUAAAGGGGGUGAAAAACCUCCUCGCCGGAAGACCAAGGGUUCCUGUCCAACGUUAAUCGGGGCAGGGUAAGUCGGCCCCUAAGGCGAGGCCGAAAGGCGUAGUCGAUGGGAAACGGGUUAAUAUUCCCGUACUGCUGCUUACUGCGAUGGGGGGACGGAGAAGGCUAGGUGGGCCUGGCGAUGGUAGUCCAGGUUCAAGUGCGUAGGCUGAUUUCUUAGGCAAAUCCGGGAAAUCAAGGCCGAGACACGAUGUCGAGCCACCAAGGUGGUGAAGUCAUUGAUGCCAUGCUUCCGGGAAAAGCCUCUAAGCUUCAGGUAAGUAGCAACCGUACUCCAAACCGACACAGGUGGUCGGGUAGAGAAUACCAAGGCGCUUGAGAGAACUCGGGUGAAGGAACUAGGCAAAAUGGUACCGUAACUUCGGGAGAAGGUACGCUGCCCGCGGUGAAGUCCCUUGCGGAUGGAGCUAUGGGCAGUCGCAGAUACCAGGUGGCUGCAACUGUUUAUUAAAAACACAGCACUGUGCAAAAUCGAAAGAUGACGUAUACGGUGUGACGCCUGCCCGGUGCCGGAAGGUUAAUUGAUGUGGUUAUCGCAAGAGAAGCCAUUGAUCGAAGCCCCGGUAAACGGCGGCCGUAACUAUAACGGUCCUAAGGUAGCGAAAUUCCUUGUCGGGUAAGUUCCGACCUGCACGAAUGGCGUAAUGAUGGCCACGCUGUCUCCACCCGAGACUCAGUGAAAUUGAAAUCGCAGUGAAGAUGCUGUGUACCCGCGGCUAGACGGAAAGACCCCGUGAACCUUUACUACAGCUUGGCACUGAACAUUGAGCCUACAUGUGUAGGAUAGGUGGGAGGCUUUGAAGCGGCGACGCCAGUUGCUGUGGAGCCAUCCUUGAAAUACCACCCUUGUAUGUUUGAUGUUCUAACUUAGCCCCGUUAUCCGGGGUGAGGACAGUGCCUGGUGGGUAGUUUGACUGGGGCGGUCUCCUCCCAAAGAGUAACGGAGGAGCACGAAGGUGGGCUAAUCACGGUCGGACAUCGUGAGGUUAGUGCAAUGGCAUAAGCCCGCUUAACUGCGAGAGUGACGGCUCGAGCAGGUACGAAAGUAGGUCAUAGUGAUCCGGUGGUUCUGAAUGGAAGGGCCAUCGCUCAACGGAUAAAAGGUACUCCGGGGAUAACAGGCUGAUACCGCCCAAGAGUUCAUAUCGACGGCGGUGUUUGGCACCUCGAUGUCGGCUCAUCACAUCCUGGGGCUGAAGUCGGUCCCAAGGGUAUGGCUGUUCGCCAUUUAAAGUGGUACGCGAGCUGGGUUUAGAACGUCGUGAGACAGUUCGGUCCCUAUCUGCCGUGGGCGUUGGAUGAUUGAGGGGAGCUGCUCCUAGUACGAGAGGACCGGAGUGGACGAACCGCUGGUGUUCGGGUUGUGUCGCCAGACGCAUUGCCCGGUAGCUAAGUUCGGCACAGAUAAGCGCUGAAAGCAUCUAAGCGCGAAGCUGGCCCCGAGAUGAGUCAUCCCUAGAGCUUCGAGCUCUCUAAAGGGUUGU